AUACGUAGGGGGCGAGCGUUGUCCGGAAUGAUUGGGCGUAAAGGGCGCGUAGGCGGCCCGGUAAGUUUGGAGUGAAAGUCCUGUUUUUAAGAUGGGUAUUGCUUUGGAUACUGUCGGGCUUGAGUGCAGGAGAGGUAAGUGGAAUUCCCAGUGUAGCGGUGAAAUGCGUAGAGAUUGGGAGGAACACCAGUGGCGAAGGCGACUUACUGGACUGUAACUGACGCUGAGGCGCGAAAGUGUGGGGAGCAAACAGGAUUAGAUACCCUGGUAGUCCACACUGUAAACGAUGAAUGCUAGGUGUAGGGGGUAUCGACCCCUUCUGUGCCGCAGUCAACACAAUAAGCAUUCCGCCUGGGGAGUACGGCCGCAAGGUUGAAACUCAAAUGAAUUGACGGGG
rnacentral:rRNA from 1 species